GAUGAACGCUGGCGGCGUGCCUAAUACAUGCAAGUCGAGCGAACAGACGAGGAGCUUGCUCCUCUGACGUUAGCGGCGGACGGGUGAGUAACACGUGGAUAACCUACCUAUAAGACUGGGAUAACUUCGGGAAACCGGAGCUAAUACCGGAUAAUAUAUUGAACCGCAUGGUUCAAUAGUGAAAGACGGUUUUGCUGUCACUUAUAGAUGGAUCCGCGCCGCAUUAGCUAGUUGGUAAGGUAACGGCUUACCAAGGCAACGAUGCGUAGCCGACCUGAGAGGGUGAUCGGCCACACUGGAACUGAGACACGGUCCCGACUCCUACGGGAGGCAGCAGUAGGGAAUCUUCCGCAAUGGGCGAAAGCCUGACGGAGCAACGCCGCGUGAGUGAUGAAGGUCUUCGGAUCGUAAAACUCUGUUAUUAGGGAAGAACAAAUGUGUAAGUACCUAUGCACGUCUUGACGGUACCUAAUCAGAAAGCCACGGCUAACUACGUG
rnacentral:rRNA from 1 species